rnacentral:rRNA from 1 species
CGCGGUAAUACGUAGGUGGCAAGCGUUGUCCGGGAUUUACUGGGCGUAAAGGAUGUGUAGGCGGAUACUUAAGUGAGAUGUGAAAGCCCCGGGCUUAACCUGGGGACUGCAUUUCAAACUGGGUAUCUAGAGUGCAGGAGAGGAAAGCGGAAUUCCUAGUGUAGCGGUGAAAUGCGUAGAGAUUAGGAAGAACAUCAGUGGCGAAGGCGGCUAUCUGGACUGUAACUGACGCUGAGGCAUGAAAGCGUGGGGAGCAAACAGGAUUAGAUACCCUGGUAGUCCACGCCGUAAACGAUGAGUACUAGGUGUAGGAGGUAUCGACUCCUUCUGUGCCGCAGUUAACACAAUAAGUACUCCGCCUGGGAAGUACGGUCGCAAGAUUAAAACUCAAAGGAAUUGACGGGGGCCCGCACAAGCAGCGGAGCAUGUGGUUUAAUUCGAAGCAACGCGAAGAACCUUACCUAGACUUGACAUCUCCUGAAUAGCGUAGAGAUACGUGAAGCCCUUCGGGGCAGGAAGACAGGUGGUGCAUGGUUGUCGUCAGCUCGUGUCGUGAGAUGUUGGGUUAAGUCCCGCAACGAGCGCAACCCUUAUCAUUAGUUGCUACCAUUAAGUUGAGCACUCUAGUGAGACUGCCCGGGUUAACCGGGAGGAAGGCGGGGAUGACGUCAAAUCAUCAUGCCCCUUAUGUCUAGGGCUACACACGUGCUACAAUGGUGAGAACAACGAGAUGCAAUACCGCGAGGUGGAGCCAAACUUGAAAACUCAUCCCAGUUCGGAUUGCAGGCUGAAAUUCGCCUGCAUGAAGUUGGAGUUGCUAGUAAUCGCGAAUCAGAAUGUCGCGGUGAAUACGUUCCCGGGCCUUGUACACACCGCCCGUCACACCAUGAGAGCUGGUAACACCCGAAGU